rnacentral:rRNA from 1 species
UAACACAUGACAAGUCGAGCGGUAACANAAAAGGAGCUUGCUNCUUUGCUGACGAGCGNNCGGACGGGUGAGUAAUGCUUGGGAACAUGCCUUGAGGUGGGGGACAACAGUUGGAAACGACUGCUAAUACCGCAUAAUGUCUACGGACCAAAGGGGGCUUCGGCUCUCGCCUUUAGAUUGGCCCAAGUGGGAUUAGCUAGUUGGUGAGGUAAUGGCUCACCAAGGCAACGAUCCCUAGCUGGUUUGAGAGGAUGAUCAGCCACACUGGGACUGAGACACGGCCCAGACUCCUACGGGAGGCANCAGUGGGGAAUAUUGCACAAUGGGCGCAAGCCUGAUGCAGCCAUGCCGCGUGUGUGAAGAANGCCUUCGGGUUGUAAAGCACUUUCAGUCAGGAGGAAAGGUUAGUAGUUAAUACCUGCUAGCUGUGACGUUACUGACAGAAGAAGCACCGGCUAACUCCGUGCCAGCAGCCGCGGUAAUACGGAGGGUGCGAGCGUUAAUCGGAAUUACUGGGCGUAAAGCGUACGCAGGCGGUUUGUUAAGCGAGAUGUGAAAGCCCCGGGCUCAACCUGGGAACUGCAUUUUCAACUGGCAAACUANA